GCCGUGGAUUUAGCAGGGACUAGGCUUCCCAGAAACCUCGCCGCCCCUCUCCUCGCUGCGGGGUGUGGGGCCGCCAUCAGAGACAGCAGCCGGCAGGAGCAAUUAGAGGCCAGGAAGGAGCCGGGGCCUCCCAGAGAGUUCCCAGGACUGGGAUCCACACUCAGCGUCAGUCAGCACCAGCGACGCCGCCUCUGCCCGGCACCCCCUGCCCGGGGAGCCCCAGCGGGGAGGGAGAUGAAUGGAAAGGGUGCACUGGAGACUGCUGGAUGAGAUGGAAGCUUCGGGAAUUUAGCCCCACAGAUAGGCAGAGCAAGUACCCCAAAAUGUCAGCUGCUGGCUUCUCCCAGAGAGGCUGCCUGGCCUGGGGACCCCUGAAUCUGCAGCUGAACAGAAAAACCACUGCAGACUCUCCCCAGCCUCUGCCCCGGGCUGCCCG
rnacentral:lncRNA from 1 species